UGCUGAAUAGCCUCAGUGAUCGUGUCUGGUGUAAGCGGAACAUCUGGCUAUGACCUUGCUGCAACUCUCAGUUGUAUGGAAAAUACGAAAUCUUUGGAAGAGGAAUAUGAAAGAAACAUAUUUUUCUCUUCAAAAUGGAGAUGCUAUUUAUCACAUGUUCCCAAUUUUUACCUCUUCAUACUGACGUGUAUAUAACAAUCUUCUAAUUAAUAUCUUUGUGGCAUUUAUCACGGUGACUUUUAUGUAGCUGCUUGGGUUUCAGACAUUGUGGUUUUGCUGUACUGAUUUCAUUCUUUGAUUGUUUUUAUUACCCUGGCUUUUGCUUGUUCCAAGCAGGAAGCUGAAGCAAUGCGCAUGGUUGGGUUUGCAGAGCGUGAAACAGAAGCACAGCAUAAAAUCUGUGCUGCCAUUAGAAUUUGAGUUUGGGUCAAAUGUUGAAGGGAUGUGACAGAAUGUGUGGAACGUUUGUAUUCUGGAGACACAAUGGAAUACUUACAAGAGGUCGCAGCAUGUUCUCUAAUCUGAGAAUCACACAAAAAUGGUCAACAUUUUGACUCAUGCACAAAUAUGGAGGUGUAGGUUGUAGGGGGGUUGUAUAUUGGUUCUUAAUUUUGUUCUAAAUGACAGAUUGUUUUGAAUAGUUCAUCACCGGAUGACCAGAAGUUAGUCCAA
rnacentral:lncRNA from 1 species